GCUUGCACCUUUCAAGUGAGUGGCGAACGGGUGAGUAACACGUGGACAACCUGCCUCAAGGCUGGGGAUAACAUUUGGAAACAGAUGCUAAUACCGAAUGAAACUUAGUGUCGCAUGAUACGAAGUUAAAAGGCGCUUUGGCGUCACCUAGAGAUGGAUCCGCGGUGCAUUAGUUAGUUGGUGGGGUAAAGGCCUACCAAGACAAUGAUGCAUAGCCGAGUUGAGAGACUGAUCGGCCACAUUGGGACUGAGACACGGCCCAAACUCCUACGGGAGGCUGCAGUAGGGAAUCUUCCACAAUGGGCGAAAGCCUGAUGGAGCAACGCCGCGUGUGUGAUGAAGGCUUUCGGGUCGUAAAGCACUGUUGUAUGGGAAGAACAGCUAGAAUAGGGAAUGAUUUUAGUUUGACGGUACCAUACCAGAAAGGGACGGCUAAAUACGUGCCAGCAGCCGCGGUAAUACGUAUGUCCCGAGCGUUAUCCGGAUUUAUUGGGCGUAAAGCGAGCGCAGACGGUUGAUUAAGUCUGAUGUGAAAGCCCGGAGCUCAACUCCGGAAUGGCAUUGGAAACUGGUUAACUUGAGUGCAGUAGAGGUAAGUGGAACUCCAUGUGUAGCGGUGGAAUGCGUAGAUAUAUGGAAGAACACCAGUGGCGAAGGCGGCUUACUGGACUGUAACUGACGUUGAGGCUCGAAAGUGUGGGUAGCAAACAGGAUUAGAUACCCUGGUAGUCCACACCGUAAACGAUGAACACUAGGUGUUAGGAGGUUUCCGCCUCUUAGUGCCGAAGCUAACGCAUUAAGUGUUCCGCCUGGGGAGUACGACCGCAAGGUUGAAACUCAAAGGAAUUGACGGGGACCCGCACAAGCGGUGGAGCAUGUGGUUUAAUUCGAAGCAACGCGAAGAACCUUACCAGGUCUUGACAUCCUUUGAAGCUUUUAGAGAUAGAAGUGUUCUCUUCGGAGACAAAGUGACAGGUGGUGCAUGGUCGUCGUCAGCUCGUGUCGUGAGAUGUUGGGUUAAGUCCCGCAACGAGCGCAACCCUUAUUGUUAGUUGCCAGCAUUCAGAUGGGCACUCUAGCGAGACUGCCGGUGACAAACCGGAGGAAGGCGGGGACGACGUCAGAUCAUCAUGCCCCUUAUGACCUGGGCUACACACGUGCUACAAUGGCGUAU
rnacentral:rRNA from 1 species